rnacentral:rRNA from 1 species
AUUGAACGCUGGCGGCAGGCCUAACACAUACAAGUCGAGCGAGCGGCGGACGGGUGAGUAAUGUAUGGGGACUGCCCGAUAGAGGGGGAUAACUACUGGAAACGGUAGCUAAUACCGCAUACUAUCGGAUAACCCAUAUGGGAUUAGCUAGUAGGUGAGGUAAUGGCUCACCUAGGCGACGACCCCUAGCUGUUCUGAGAGGAUGAUCAGCCACACUGGGACGGAGACACGGCCCGUACUCCUACGGAGGUAGCAGUGGGGAAUAUUGCGCAAUGGGCGCAAGCCUAGUGCAGCCAUGCCGCGUGUAUGAAGAAGGCCCUAGGGUUGUAAAGUACUUUCAGUCGGGAGGCGUUACCGACAGAAGAAGCACCGGCUAACUCCGUGCCAGCAGCCGCGGUAAUUC